rnacentral:rRNA from 1 species
CUCGUGUCGUGAGAUGUUGGGUUAAGUCCCGUAACGAGCGCAACCCUUGUCCUUAGUUACCAGCACGUUAUGGUGGGCACUCUAAGGAGACUGCCGGUGACAAACCGGAGGAAGGUGGGGAUGACGUCAAGUCAUCAUGGCCCUUACGGCCUGGGCUACACACGUGCUACAAUGGUCGGUACAGAGGGUUGCCAAGCCGCGAGGUGGAGCUAAUCCCACAAAACCGAUCGUAGUCCGGAUCGCAGUCUGCAACUCGACUGCGUGAAGUCGGAAUCGCUAGUAAUCGCGAAUCAGAAUGUCGCGGUGAAUACGUUCCCGGGCCUUGUACACACCGCCCGU